ACAAGACGAGAAGACCCUAUGGAGCUUUAACUAAGUAACUCAAGGAAAAUAAAUUCAACCACCAAGGGAUAACAACACUCCUUAUGAGUUAACAGUUUCGGUUGGGGUGACCUCGG
rnacentral:rRNA from 1 species